rnacentral:misc_RNA from 1 species
GAGAAAUCAAGCGUCCACCGGCGGAGCGAGAUUAAGAUCGAGAUUCAGAAUUUCCUUUGCCGGUCGGCAGUCAACAAACGACGAUGAGUCCGAGUCGCUCUGGAUCCGGCCGGCGAACCUCGCCGUCAAAUCCACCGUCGUCGGAUCGAACCGUAUAGGGUAGCCAUGAGCGACGAACUCCGGUCUACCAAAAGCGUCCAUAAAC